rnacentral:rRNA from 1 species
GAUGAACGCUAGCGGGAGGCCUAACACAUGCAAGCCGAGCGGUAGAGUUUCUUCGGAAACUUGAGAGCGGCGCACGGGUGCGUAACACGUGUGCAACCUACCUUUAUCUGGGGGAUAGCCUUUCGAAAGGAAGAUUAAUACCCCAUAAUAUAAUGAUUGGCAUCAAUUAUUAUUGAAAACUCCGGUGGAUAGAGAUGGGCCCGCGCAAGAUUAGAUAGUUGGUGAGGUAACGGCUCACCAAGUCAAUGAUCUUUAGGGGUCCCGAGAGGGAGAUCCCCCACACUGGUACUGAGACACGGACCAGACUCCUACGGGAGGCAGCAGUGAGGAAUAUUGGACAAUGGGUGAGAGCCUGAUCCAGCCAUCCCGCGUGAAGGAUGACGGUCCUAUGGAUGGUAAACUUCUUUUGUACAGGGAUAAACCUACCCUCGUGAGGGUAGCUGAAGGUACUGUACGAAUAAGCACCGGCUAACUCCGUG